GCCGGCAGCUAGCUCUCUGCAAAUCUCACAUGUUCGCCCACUGCAGCUAAGCAAGGCCGUGCCCGGUGAGUACCUGGAUGGGGGACCAUAUGGGAAAGCUAGGUUUCUGCCGGAA
ensembl:rRNA 5S_rRNA 5S ribosomal RNA